AGAGUUUGAUCCUGGCUCAGGACGAACGCUGGCGGCGUGCCUAACACAUGCAAGUCGAACGGAGAAUUUCAAUAAGUUUACNNNNNUAGUGGCGAACGGGUGAGUAACGCGUGAGCAACCUGACUCUUAGAGGGGGAUAACACUCGGAAACGAGUGCUAGUACCGCAUAAGACCACGACGUGGCAUCAUGACGAGGUCAAAGGAGCAAUCCGCUUUGGGAGGGGCUCGCGUCCCAUUAGCUAGUUGGUAGGGUAAUGGCCUACCAAGGCGACGAUGGUUAGCGGGUCUGAGAGGAUGAUCCGCCACACUGGAACUGGAACACGGACCAGACUCCUACGGGAGGCAGCAGUGAGGAAUAUUGGGCAAUGGGCGCAAGCCUGAACCAGCCAUCCCGCGUGCAGGAAGAAGGUUUUCGGAUUGUAAACCUCUGUCCUUGGGGACGAAAAAAAUGACGGUACCCGAGGAGGAAGCCCCGGCUAACUACGUGCCAGCAGCCGCGGUAAUACGUAGGGGGCGAGCGUUGUCCGGAAUUACUGGGCGUAAAGGGUGCGUAGGCGGUUUAUUAAGUUGGAUGUGAAAUACCCGGGCUUAACUUGGGAGGUGCAUCCAAAACUGGUAGACUAGAGUACAGGAGAGGGAAGCGGAAUUCCUAGUGUAGCGGUGACGGUGAAUGCGUAGAUAUUAGGAGGAACACCCGUGGCGAAGGCGGCUUUCUGGACUGUAACUGACGCUGAGGCACGAAAGCGUGGGGAGCAAACAGGAUUAGAUACCCUGGUAGUCCACGCUGUAAACGAUGAAUACUAGGUGUAGGGGGUAUCAACUCCCCCUGUGCCGGAGCAAACUCUAUUAAGCAUUCCGCCUGGGGAGUACGGCCGCAAGGUUGAAACUCAAAGGAAUUGACGGGGGCCCGCACAAGCAGCGGAGCAUGUGGUUUAAUUCGAAGCAACGCGAAGAACCUUACCAAGGCUUGACAUCCACUUAAACGCAUGGAAACAUGCGGUCUCUUCGGAGGAAGUGAGACAGGUGGUGCAUGGUUGUCGUCAGCUCGUGUCGUGAGAUGUUGGGUUAAGUCCCGCAACGAGCGCAACCCUUGCCUUUAGUUGCCAGCACAUAAUGGUGGGCACUCUAGAGGGACUGCCGGUGACAAACCGGAGGAAGGUGGGGAUGACGUCAAAUCAUCAUGCCCCUUAUGACCUGGGCUACACACGUGCUACAAUGGCCGGUACAAAGGGCAGCAAAGCCGCGAGGUGGAGCCAAUCCCAAAAAGCCGGUCUCAGUUCGGAUUGGCAGGCUGAAACUCGACUGCAUGAAGCCGGAGUUGCUAGUAAUCGCGAAUCAGCAUGUCGCGGUGAAUGCGUUCCCGGGUCUUGUACACACCGCCCGUCACACCAUGGGAGUUGGGAGCGCCCGAAGCCAGUGAGCUAACCAGCAAUGGAGGCAGCUGUCGAAGGCGAGAUCAAUGACUGGGGUGAAGUCGUAACAAGGUAACC
rnacentral:rRNA from 1 species